rnacentral:rRNA from 1 species
UACGGGGGGAGCAAGCGUUGUUCGGAUUUACUGGGCGUAAAGGGCGUGUAGGCGGCCACCGCAAGUCAGUUGUGAAAUCUCUGGGCUUAACCCAGAAAGGUCAACUGAUACUGCGGGGCUAGAGUGCAGAAGGGGCAACUGGAAUUCUCGGUGUAGCGGUGAAAUGCGUAGAUAUCGAGAGGAACACCUGCGGCGAAGGCGGGUUGCUGGGCUGACACUGACGCUGAAAUGCGAAAGCUAGGGGAGCGAACGGG